GACGAACGCUGGCGGCGUGCCUAAUACAUGCAAGUUGAGCGCUGAAGGUUGGUACUUGUACCAACUGGAUGAGCAGCGAACGGGUGAGUAACGCGUGGGGAAUCUGCCUUUGAGCGGGGGACAACAUUUGGAAACGAAUGCUAAUACCGCAUAAAAACUUUAAACACAAGUUUUAAGUUUGAAAGAUGCAAUUGCAUCACUCAAAGAUGAUCCCGCGUUGUAUUAGCUAGUUGGUGAGGUAAAGGCUCACCAAGGCGAUGAUACAUAGCCGACCUGAGAGGGUGAUCGGCCACAUUGGGACUGAGACACGGCCCAAACUCCUACGGGAGGCAGCAGCAGGGAAUCUUCGGCAAUGGACGAAAGUCCGACCGAGCAACGCCGCGUGAGUGAAGAAGGUUUUCGGAUCGUAAAACUCUGUUGGUAGAGAAGAACGUUGGUGAGAGUGGAAAGCUCAUCAAGUGACGGUAACUACCCAGAAAGGGACGGCUAACUACGUG
rnacentral:rRNA from 1 species